rnacentral:rRNA from 1 species
AUGGAUGGGCAAAGCAGAAAGCACAGGAUUUUGAUGGUGUCCGACUUCUUCUUCCCAAACUUUGGUGGUGUGGAAAGCCACAUCUAUUAUCUAUCACAGUGCCUCCUUAAGCUUGGCCAUAAGGUUGUUGUCAUGACACAUGCAUAUGGAAAACGUUCUGGAGUACGAUAUGUUACUGGUGGCUUGAAGGUUUAUUAUGUGCCGUGGAGGCCAUUCCUGAUGCAGAAUACACUACCUACAUUAUUCAUGACAUUUCCAAUCAUAAGGACAAUUCUUAUUCGUGAGAGGAUAUCUGUUGUGCAUGGACAUCAGGCCUUUUCAACACUGUGCCACGAAGCGUUGAUGCAUGCUAGGACGAUGGGGUACAAAUUUACUCUUGCAGAUAUUGAUCAGGCCAUAUGUGUGUCUCACACAAGCAAAGAGAACACUGUCUUGAGGUCAGGGAUAUCUCCGGACAAAGUUUUCAUGGUUCCUAAUGCAGUGGAUACCGCAAUGUUUACUCCCUCCUCCAACCGCUUAAGCUGUGAUGAAAUCAUUAUUGUUGUGAUAAGUAGAUUGGUAUAUCGAAAAGGUGCUGACCUUCUUGUUGAAGUCAUUCCAGAAGUAUGCCGUCUAUUUCCAAAGGUUCGCUUUAUUGUUGGAGGUGAUGGUCCAAAACGUGUGCGACUUGAAGAGAUGAGGGAGAAGUUCUCCCUUCAGGAUAGAGUUGAGAUGUUAGGGGCUGUACCUCAUGCUCAAGUACGAUCUGUUCUGAUAUCUGGUCAUAUAUUUCUGAACAGUUCGCUUACAGAAGCAUUUUGCAUAGCCAUUCUGGAAGCAGCAAGCUGUGGGCUUUUGACAGUAAGCACUAGAGUCGGAGGGGUUCCAGAGGUUCUACCAGAUGACAUGAUAGUACUAGCAGAACCAGAUCCAGAAGAUAUGGUACGGGCUGUGAGGCAAGCUAUCGACAUACUUCCUGGUAUAGAUCCCCAAAUUAUGCAUCGCCGGAUGAAAAAACUCUACAGUUGGGAUGAUGUGGCCAAAAGAACAGAGAUUGUCUACGAUCGUGCAAUGCAGUCAUCAAACACUAAUUUGCUAGAUCGUCUUCCCCGAUACCUCACAUGUGGAGCUUGGGCAGGCAAACUGUUUUGCCUCGUUAUGAUCAUAAACUACCUUGUGUGGUGCCUUCUAGAAUUCCUGCAGCCUGCUGAAGGUAUCGAAGAAGUCCCAGAUAUAGGGCCACUGCACAUUCAUUCGGAUUCAGUAGAUGACCAGUGCGAAGCGCAACGAAAUUGA